rnacentral:rRNA from 1 species
GACGAACCGUGCGAGCGUUAUUCGGAAUCACUGGGCUUAAAGCGCGUGUAGGCGGGACGGCACGUCGGUCGCUGAAAUCCCCCGGCUCAACCGGGGAACGGGCACCGAUACGACCGUCCUGGAGGGACGUAGGGGGACCUGGAACUUCCGGUGGAGCGGUGAAAUGCGUUGAGAUCGGAAGGAACGCCCGUGGCGAAAGCGAGGUCCUGGACGUUUUCUGACGCUGAGACGCGAAAGCCAGGGGAGCGAACGGG